GUGGGGAAUAUUGGGCAAUGGAGGAAACUCUGACCCAGCGACGCCGCGUGCGGGAUGAAGGCCUUCGGGUUGUAAACCGCUUUCAGUAGGGAAGAAGCGAAAGUGACGGUACCUACAAAAGAAGCACCGGCUAACUAUGUGCCAGCAGCCGCGGUAAUACAUAGGGUGCAAGCGUUGUCCGGAAUUAUUGGGCGUAAAGAGCUCGUAGGUCGUUUGUUACGUCGGAUGUGAAAACCUGAGGCUCAACCUCAGGCCUGCAUUCGAUACGGGCAAACUAGAGUUUGGUAGGGGAGACUGGAAUUCCUGGUGUAGCGGUGGAAUGCGCAGAUAUCAGGAGGAACACCAAUGGCGAAGGCAGGUCUCUGGGCCAAUACUGACACUGAGGAGCGAAAGUCUGGGGAGCGAACAGGAUUAGAUACCCCAGUAGUCCGGU
rnacentral:rRNA from 1 species